CGUCUUCGCAGUCGGUUGUGUCGUGAGCGUGACGUAAAAUAGUAAUAUUCCGUAACGUAAUAUUGUGACUUCGUUUACGUGAAAAAAUUAUAAGUGCAAAAGUAUUUACAAGUGAAGUGUUUUAUUAAAAGUGUUUGUGAUUUAAAAAGGAUUUUUGUUUUCCGGAAGGUGUAAAUAAAGAUAACGGCCAGUUUCUUCCUGGGUCAGGUGGAUAGAGAUUCUGCUGAAAUCCAAAGUGCUUUGUAAUGU